CCGUAGCCUGGUAGCGGGGGAUAACUAUUGGAAACGAUAGCUAAUACCGCAUAAUAGUAGAUGUUGCAUGACAUUUGCUUAAAAGGUGCAAUUGCAUCACUACCAGAUGGACCUGCGUUGUAUUAGCUAGUUGGUGAGGUAACGGCUCACCAAGGCGACGAUACAUAGCCGACCUGAGAGGGUGAUCGGCCACACUGGGACUGAGACACGGCCCAG
rnacentral:rRNA from 1 species